GAGUUUGAUCGUGGCUCAGAUUGAACGCUGGCGGCAGGCCUAACACAUGCAAGUCGAGCGGUAGAGAGAAGCUUGCUUCUCUUGAGAGCGGCGGACGGGUGAGUAAUGCCUAGGAAUCUGCCUGGUAGUGGGGGAUAACGCUCGGAAACGGACGCUAAUACCGCAUAACGUCCUACGGGAGAAAGCAGGGGACCUUCGGGCCUUGCGCUAUCAGAUGAGCCUAGGUCGGAUUAGCUAGUUGGUGAGGUAAUGGCUCACCAAGGCGACGAUCCGUAACUGGUCUGAGAGGAUGAUCAGUCACACUGGAACUGAGACGACGGUUCC
rnacentral:rRNA from 1 species